GAGGGUCUAGCUCAGUGGUAGAGUGUGUGCUUAGUAAGCUUGGGGUCCUGGGUUCAAUCCCCAGUACCUCCA
rnacentral:tRNA from 1 species